AUUGAACGCUGGCGGCAGGCCUAACACAUGCAAGUCGAGCGGAUGAAGGGAGCUUGCUCCUGGAUUCAGCGGCGGACGGGUGAGUAAUGCCUAGGAAUCUGCCUGGUAGUGGGGGAUAACGUCCGGACACGGGCGCUAAUACCGCAUACGUCCUGAGGGAGAAAGUGGGGGAUCUUCGGACCUCACGCUAUCAGAUGAGCCUAGGUCGGAUUAGCUAGUUGGUGGGGUAAAGGCCUACCAAGGCGACGAUCCGUAACUGGUCUGAGAGGAUGAUCAGUCACACUGGAACUGAGACACGGUCCAGACUCCUACGGGAGGCAGCAGUGGGGAAUAUUGGGCAAUGGGCGAAAGCCUGAUCCAGCCAUGCCGCGUGUGUGAAGAAGGUCUUCGGAUUGUAAAGCACUUUAAGUUGGGAGGAAGGGCAGUAAGUUAAUACCUUGCUGUUUUGACGUUACCAACAGAAUAAGCACCGGCUAACUUCGUG
rnacentral:rRNA from 1 species